rnacentral:rRNA from 1 species
UACGUAGGGCGCAAGCGUUGUCCGGAAUCAUUGGGCGUAAAGAGCUCGUAGGUGGUCUGUUACGUCUGCUGUGAAAACCUAGGGCUUAACCCUGGGCCUGCAGUGGAUACGGGCAGACUAGAGGUAGGUAGGGGAGAAUGGAAUUCCUGGUGUAGCGGUGAAAUGCGCAGAUAUCAGGAGGAACACCGGUGGCGAAGGCGGAUCUCUGGGCCGUAACUGACGCUGAGGAGCGAAAGCAUGGGGAGCGAACAGG